CACUCCUAUUACAGGCUGGGGGUUCAGGGCCACGAUCACCUGUGGGACCGUUACUGGGAAGUGUUCUUGGGGGCAACUCCGGUGCCGGAGUGAGAGGGACAGAGCCCAGCUAUGCAGCUGGGACAUUAACCAGCCUCCAUCCAUCCCCCUUCUGCCUGAAACUGCCUACUUUUAGCCACUUUAACAACAGGGUUGGUGACAGUCAAGACUCCCUGGCCUGGGAACAAUUCCGCCACUUAGGUGACUCUGCAUGUCUUCUCUGCCACAACAACCCGAGAUGUGCUGGUUGGGUAGAUGGGCUCUCAGAUGACAGCCUCAGUUCCACUCUUUCCAGGUUUUCGGGGUGACACUCCUGCACCUCACAAUCACCCUUACCUGCUGACACCAGUAGAAAGGGAAGGACGGGCGUUCUGGAAGAGCAGGUCCCGCGGGCCCCACCGGAGACCCACCAACGGUGCAGAGACUGGCCUCCCUGCCCGGACUGUCAGACCAAACCCCAGGCCUCCUUCCGAAUUCUCCUCUCGGCCCAUCUGUUUGUUCUCUGGUGCUCUCCAGCUGCCAGUAACUGCCUCGGCCAAACUCAAAUCAAAGCUAUUAGCUGGAUAAUUGCUCUAAUGAGGGCACAGAAUGAAUCACCAGGACAGCUCUCACCCUGGAAAAAUUAAAUGGGUAAACUGCCUACUUGUGCUCCUGGGGACUCUGGUGGCUUUCUCUGCGCUCCCUGUGGGUCUUCUCGGGGGAGACUUGUUCUCUGACACUGGAAGAACUAACGGAAAAUUACAGCGAUGGGAUUUUGUUACAUGGUUAUGAGUUUGGGGAGGGAUAAUCGAGGCCAUGCCGGGGAACAAGCCGUGGUGUGCAAUGUCGUGAGCACAGAUUCCGGCGGGAGGCCGCCGAAAAUAGAACCUUAACAGUCACCGCUUACCACGGGAAACGUGCGCCAGUGACUGGUCUUUCCGAAAAGUAAUAGCAUCUACCUCGUUUGGAUGUUUUCGGGGUUAAAUGAGAUAAUACACGGAAAAGAACUUUGAACAGUCCCUACCACAUAUGCACGUCCAAUGAGCGUUACUUACCUAAGACGGCCGUUGGUGUAUUCCUUUGUGAAUCGGUGUAGCAAUUCAUGGACAAGAUGUUACUCACCCGAGGGCAGAAACUGGUGCGUGUACGAGGCUCUUCACGGCAGUGUUGUUGGUAAGAGCAAAACCCCGAGGAAACAACCCACUUGACCAUGCGCAGAGGGUGGGUUGGUGAGUUGUGAUACAUCCACACACAGCACUACUUGGUCAUACCGAGAAAAUAAUGACGCAGCUGCGACGUUUAUCUGCAGAGACGUCUCCAAGGCCGCGUGAAACGACAGUGGCAGCAGAGGGCACGUGGCCCACCGCCGACCAAGCGAGAGAAAAGGGGACACAGGGUCCACAGGGGGCACACCCGGCCGCCUGACUGCCCCAGUCACUGACACCCGAGAACCGGGGAAGAGAACCGCAAGGCACCUGGGCUGCUCGGGGGCGGUGAGCGAGAAGGACUUCUCACCUGGUGCCGGGCGUGAUUUGAAUUUAUGGCCGUGUGCAUGCACACCUGUGCAAACCAGACUGCUUUAAAAACCGGAACACAACCAUUACAACAAACGCUGUUUUAGUCCACUCAAGCUGCUAUAAAAAUGCCACCGACUGGCUGGCUCACAAACAGCAGAAAUCUCUCUCUUCCGGCUCUGGAGGCUGGGACGUCCAGCUAGAGGUGCCGAAAGAGUCGUGAUGUCACAGACGGCACCUUCUCUCUGUACCCCAGACGGCAGAGAGAGGGCGGUGGGUCCCUCUCGGGUCUCUUCUGUAAGGACACUCAUCCCACUCCUGGGUGCUCCACCCGUGUGACCCAAUCACCUCCCAAAGGCCCCACCUCCUAUCUCCGCCACCUUGGGGGAAAGGAUUCCAACCUACGAAUUUUGGGGAGACACAAACAUUCCGACCACAGCACCCACCUAUCUGGAGCUGCUGAGCUCCUGCCCUGGCUCCGCACAGGGGUGUCUCGGACCCGUGCGCUCUCUUUAUUGCGUUUCUAUUUCAUCUUUCCUCCAAAGCACCCAAGGCACUUCUCCAAGUCCCUCACAUUUUGCGAACACAGCCAGAGACAUGCUCUUAGCCUCCAGGAGACCGGCCCACGGGGACCCCGCGCUGGGGCGAGUCCGUCUGAACUCUGCCCUGUGUCUCUCUCGCUCCCCGGCUUCUGAUUUGUGUUUUCUUCCUCCCCGAGAAUGCGGCUAAGCGGGAAACGUCACCUUCGUCCCUGCUGCGGUUUCCGAGUCGCCAGACAAAAAAGCCCCGGCACGCGCCAAGUCGGCUCUGCGUUUGGGGAGCCCCGGCGAACACGGCCUGGCACCGUGACGCCGUGACUGGGUGUCAGGAUUUGACUAAGAGGAUUUAAUUUUCUCAGCAACAGACGGAAGUGGCUGGUUUGAAGCAGCCCGAGUGUCUUAGAGAAGGGUAUUUUUCACAAAGUUGCUCAUCUCGACGGGGACUGUUGUGAUGAGAGAGAUUGUCUGUUUUCGUUCCAAGAGACAUUCGAGAAUAACAUUAUUACCACUCCACAGCUCUCGGUAACAUCUUAGAGAGCCGGUAACACAUCUCCCCCAUGCUAAAUGUCUGUAACAAUGCUCUCCAGCGCUGGUACUUUGGAAGCUCCAAGGAAACUUGUGCAAUCAGGGUGUAAACAAUUGCACGGCUUCUACCGAGCGCGCGGCUGUCGGGCACGGGGGAGCGCACGUCUCCAAGCCUCUGCUGCGGCACCUGUGUUGAUGUCUAAACGCGUGCACGUGUUCCCAGGGGCGCCAGGGAGCAGAGGGAAAUGCACCCGACCGGCAGCGCAUCGGGAUCAGAGCGUUUGACAGUCGCCCGCCACACCGAAAAGCUGGAAACAAAUGCCAACUAGAAGCGAGUUAUUUACGCUACCAAAAACUGGUCAUCAGCAGAAGCCAGACGGCAGGGCUGUCCACGCGGAACCUCCGCGGGUCCGGGAAAGCAGGACGCCAUUGGUCCCCCCGCGGACCCACGCUGGGGCAAGGACGAGAGGACACCGGGCAGACAGGGACAGAUGUGCGCCCGUCUGGCUGUCCGAGCCAGAGUCCCAGCGUGGGAGCCUCAGCCUGAAGAGCAGCUAUAAAACCACCGCUGUCCACCAACACGCCAGUGGCACCUGCCUGGGCCCCUCCCUGUGGCGUCACCUCCACACCCGCCAAAGCCCACCCCAGCCCGAAUUCCGUGGCCUCCUGCUCUUUCCCCUUGAAAUUUUAA